rnacentral:rRNA from 1 species
AUUGAACGCUGGCGGCAUGCUUUACACAUGCAAGUCGAACGGUAACAGGCCGCAAGGUGCUGACGAGUGGCGAACGGGUGAGUAAUGCAUCGGAACGUGCCCAGUCGUGGGGGAUAACGCAGCGAAAGCUGUGCUAAUACCGCAUACGAUCUAUGGAUGAAAGCGGGGGACCGGAAGGCCUCGCGCGAUUGGAGCGGCCGAUGUCAGAUUAGGUAGUUGGUGGGGUAAAGGCCUACCAAGCCAACGAUCUGUAGCUGGUCUGAGAGGACGACCAGCCACACUGGGACUGAGACACGGCCCAGACUCCUACGGGAGGUAGCAGUGGGGAAUUUUGGACAAUGGGCGCAAGCCUGAUCCAGCAAUGCCGCGUGCGGGAAGAAGGCCUUCGGGUUGUAAACUGCUUUUGUACGGAACGAAACGGUCUGGGUUAAUACCCCGGGCUAAUGACGGUACCGUAAGAAUAAGCACCGGCUAACUACGUGCCAGCAGCCGCAGUAACAC